rfam:Arabis alpina cultivar Pajares chromosome 6, whole genome shotgun sequence.
GAGUGCGAUCAUACCAGUACCAGUAAUAGUGCACCAGAUCCCAUCAAAACUCCGCAGUUAAGCGGACCUGGCGAAAGUAGUAUUAAGAUGCGUUAUCUUCAUGGGAAGUCUUCGGGUUGCACCCC